AUUACCGAGUUUACAACUCCCAAACCCCUGUGAACAUACCUUAAUGUUGCCUUGGCGGAUCAGCCCGCGCCCCGUAAAACGGGACGGCCCGCCAGAGGACCCAAACUCUAAUGUUUCUUAUUGUAACUUCUGAGUAAAACAAACAAAUAAAUCAAAACUUUCAACAACGGAUCUCUUGGUUCUGGCAUCGAUGAAGAACGCAGCAAAAUGCGAUAAGUAAUGUGAAUUGCAGAAUUCAGUGAAUCAUCGAAUCUUUGAACGCACAUUGCGCCCGCUGGUAUUCCGGCGGGCAUGCCUGUUCGAGCGUCAUUUCAACCCUCAAGCCCCCGGGUUUGGUGUUGGGGAUCGGCUCUGCCUUCUGGCGGUGCCGCCCCCGAAAUACAUUGGCGGUCUCGCUGCAUCCUCCAUUGCGUAGUAGCUAACACCUCGCAACUGGAACGCGGCGCGGCCAUGCCGUAAAACCCCAACUUCUGAAUGUUGACCUCGGAUCAGGUAGGAAUACCCGCUGAACUUAAGCAUAUCAAUA
rnacentral:rRNA from 1 species